rnacentral:tRNA from 1 species
GGCUCGGUAGCUCAGUUGGUAGAGCAGAGGACUGAAAAUCCUUGUGUCGNCNGUUCGAUUCNGUCCCGAGCCA